GCCAGGGUGGUGUAGUGGUUUGAGUCUUGGACUGUGACUCUGGAGACUAGAGUUCAAUUCCCAGCUCAGCCA